GGCCAAACUUAUCUCACUCACCCCAGUGACAAAUUUUUAUUCUCACUCCCCGAUUAAAAUAAAAUGACAUUUUCGCCCUUGAUUUAAUUAAUAAACUACACUUUAUCCUCUCUCUCCCUCCCCCAGCAUGAUUCUCUCUCUCUCUCUCUCCGAUCUCCGAUCUCCAACUCUAUCCCUGCGUCGAACUCCGGCAUCACGAUCGUGGACGACAUGGCGUCGAUAGUCCACACCUGAAGCUCCGGUCGGAGCUACCAGAGUCUAACUCUGUCUCGAUAUAGAGCCUCGCGGUGGAGCUUGCCGACGGCGCGUCGAAGCUGCUGCAACUCGUCAUCGGCGUUGGAAAGUCCGUCAAAGGCGGCGAAUUUGACAAUCCGACUUCGCAAUCCGUAAAAAACCAGAGUUCGGUCAUCACUGUCGAUCUUUCAAGAUGCAAGCUUCGUGACCCCUAAACAAUUUUCACUACUUCAUUUCCGUCUUCGACAAAGAUCCGGCCGAGCCCAGCAGGAAAAGAAAGCUCCGGGAGGAUUAUUACAUCUCUGGGAUGUGAUGAGAACCUGCUACUGCUUCGACGAUCCCACCAGGGCGAUCGUUGAUCUCGAUCUCGAAACCGCCACUUUUCGCAAUCUGGAAUAUCGGCUCUUCACCAUCAUCGACUACGACAUUGGCGUCGUAGACAACAUGAUAACGGGCAUUGGGCGUUGUUUAUGGAAGCGUGCCUUUUGAUGAGGUUAAUGAGAUGGUGCACCGAAUACGGCGUGUCGUCAAUGAAGCUUUUCGGUCUGGGCGACCAAAGGAGAAGCUGGAUGUAACGAUGACGGUGAAAAAGGUUCUAUUGGGGCAAAGGACGUCGGUUGAAGGGUCUA
rnacentral:lncRNA from 1 species